AAUUUAUGAAGCCAGGAACAUUUUAUGCCUUACCUCAGAGUCCACAGUUGUUCAAGCGAAUGCUAAUGGUAUCUGGUUUUGAGAAAUAUUAUCAGAUUGCCAGGUGCUUUCGAGAUGAAGAUUUGAGAGCAGAUAGGCAACCUGAGUUUACACAACUUGAUAUGGAAUUGGCCUUUACACCUUUGGAGGACAUGCUGAAACUUAAUGAGAACUAAAUCUGGCUUAUAUUUCAAGAGAUAGCAGGAGUUCAACUUCCAAAUCCUUUCCCUAGACUUACCUAUGCUGAAGCAAUGAAACAUUAUGGAUCGGACAUGCCUGACCUUCGCUUUAGUCUGGAGCUAAUGGAUAUCGGUGGCGGGAGCUUGAGGAUUUAUAAGCACGAAGUUCAAGAAAAAAUCUUGGAAAUUGUUGGCAUUCCUCACAAACAG